rnacentral:rRNA from 1 species
CGGGUGAGUAACGCGUGGGUAACCUGCCUUAUACAGGGGGAUAACAGUCAGAAAUGGCUGCUAAUACCGCAUAAGCGCACAGAGCUGCAUGGCUCAGUGUGAAAAACUCCGGUGGUAUAAGAUGGACCCGCGUUGGAUUAGCUAGUUGGUGGGGUAACGGCCCACCAAGGCGACGAUCCAUAGCCGGCCUGAGAGGGUGAACGGCCACAUUGGGACUGAGACACGGCCCAA